ACGGGAGGCAGCAGUGGGGAAUCUUCCGCAAUGGGCGAAAGCCUGACGGAGCAACGCCGCGUGAGUGAAGAAGGUCUUCGGAUCGUAAAGCUCUGUUGUCAGGGACGACACCUUACCUCAGGAAAUGGGGGUAAGCAGACGGUACCUGACGAGGAAGCCACGGCUAACUACGUGCCAGCAGCCGCGGUAAUACGUAGGCGGCAAGCGUUGUCCGGAAUCAUUGGGCGUAAAGGGAGCGCAGGUGGGAGAACAAGUCGUUCUUAAAAGUGCGGGGCUCACCCCCGUGAUGGGGAAGAAACUGUUUUUCUUGGGUGUAGGAGAGGAAAGCGGAAUUCCUAGUGUAGCGGUGAAAUGCGUAGAUAUUAGGAAGAACACCAGUGGCGAAGGCGGCUUGCUGGACUGUAACUGACACUGAGGCUCGAAAGCGUGGGGAGCAAACAGGAUUAGAUACCCUGGUA
rnacentral:rRNA from 1 species